UUAGGAAUUUUGCGCAAUGGGCGAAAGCCUGACGCAGCAACGCCGCGUGAGGGACGAAGGCCUUCGGGUUGUAAACCUCUUUUAGCAGGAACGAAACAAAUGACGGUACCUGCAGAAAAAGCACCGGCUAACUCCGUGCCAGCAGCCGCGGUAAUACGGAGGGUGCGAGCGUUAUUCGGAUUUACGGGGCGUAAAGCGCGCGUAGGCGGUUUGGUAUGUCUGGUGUGAAAUCCCUGGACUCAAUUCUGGAAGGGCAUUGGAGACUG
rnacentral:rRNA from 1 species